rnacentral:rRNA from 1 species
UACGGAGGAUCCAAGCGUUAUCCGGAUUUAUUGGUUUUAAAGGGUGCGUAGGCGGAAGAUUAAGUCAGUGGUGAAAGUUUGCAGCUCAACUGUAAAAUUGCCAUUGAAACUGAUUUUCUUGAGUGUAAAUGAGGUAGGCGGAAUGUGUUGUGUAGCGGUGAAAUGCUUAGAUAUAACACAGAACACCAAUUGCGAAGGCAGCUUACUGGGAUACAAAUGACGAUGAUGCACGGAAGCGUGGGGAUCAAACAGG